rnacentral:rRNA from 3 species
UGGGGAAUAUUGCACAAUGGAGGGAACUCUGAUGCAGCGACGCCGCGUGAACGAAGAAGGCUUUCGAGUCGUAAAGUUCUUUUAUAUGGGAAGAUAAUGACGGUACCAUAAGAAAAAGCCCCGGCUAACUACGUGCCAGCAGCCGCGGUAAUACGUAGGGGGCUAGCGUUGUCCGGAAUCACUGGGCGUAAAGGGUUCGCAGGCGGAAAUGCAAGUCAGGUGUAAAAGGCAGUAGCUUAACUACUGUAAGCAUUUGAAACUGCAUAUCUUGAGAAGAGUAGAGGUAAGUGGAAUUUUUAGUGUAGCGGUGAAAUGCGUAGAUAUUAAAAAGAAUACCGGUGGCGAAGGCGACUUACUGGGUUCAUUCUGACGCUGAGGAACGAAAGCGUGGGUAGCAAACAGG